GCAUAAAUGAGUAAGUGACCAAGUUACUAAGUAUUUAAGUAACUAAGUAAGUAUAAGUAGUUACUUCCGCCAUCUGCGGAGUACAAUAGGCGUGACAAUGACAGAGCACGUACUGUAUGUGUCUGUCAGAGCUCAGUGUGCACUGGGUCAGCCUCGGAUAGCUUCACAUAAAGACUCCCUAAGCAAAGAAGUGAAUAACACAAAAACAUCCAAAAAGGAAACAGCCACCCCUGAUGUAGCAAAAGAUCAGUCCCAGAAGGAGAGCCAAGCAGCACCAACAACCACCGUUGCAGAGGUAUCCGAGCCGCCCACACCACCCAAAGGAAUGUCAAUCCCUCCACCACCUCCACCAGCUCCACCAAAGCUGGAAAUCAAAGAACCAGCGGCUAAAUGUUUGAAACCAACAACCAAAGAAGAACCAACUGCUGCGAAGAAACCAGAGUCCUCGCCUGGAAAAUCAGCUUUGAGCAAAUUCUUCCGUCCAAAGACCAUCAAAGAGGCCCCGCAGCCAGAGGUAGAGGUUACACCAGUAAUAGAGGAAACACCAGUGGAGGUGUCUGAGCCUGUGUUAGCGGUGCAGCAGAGCGACGAUAAGCUCCAUCUUCAGGAGGAGACAGCCGAGGAAAUACUUGUAACCCUGGAGCAGGUGGUUGAAGAUGUGCAGACGAUGAUUGAAGAUGAGAAGGUGGACCCUCCCAAAGCUGGCACUGUGGAGGCUGCAACGAAACCAGAACCGCCAGCAGCGGGUCAGGAAGAGAAGAAGACUGGCUCCAAAUUAGGCUUCAAGUCCCUCUUCAAGUCCAAACUCUGGAUUGGACUGGAGCACUUUCCGGGGUGUUCCAUCCCUCCUCCCCAAGUCAAGCUCUCAUUCCAUGGUGCGUCACCAAAGACAGCGUCUCCGACCCCCCCCACCUCACCAGCAGCACCAGCAGCUCCAGUUAAACCCAAGGAUGAAACCAAGUCUGCAGACACGGCUGCUGAUAGCAAAGCUGCGGCUGGGGCUGCUUCAGCGGCCGGAGACGACGCAGCCAAGGGCCUGAAAAAAGUGGAGAAGAGGAACUCCAUCACAGGGUUCUUUAAAAACCUGGUGAAGUGAAGGUUCAGAAACAUUCAGACUCCGGGGGUCAGACGGAGUAAACGCCCGCGGAGAAAACAAAAUUAAAAAAAACCAUCGCCACCAAACCCUCAAGCUUCAACGUACUCAACUCUACAAUUCCUCUGCACUCUACACUAUAUCUGCUCGGAUCAUGAAGAAAAAAGCUAUUUAAUGUAAAAUGUAAAACUGCAAACACAAGUUUUUGAUUAGAAACGCAUGAAGAGGUAAAAAGUGUCUUCUGUUAGUUUUAUAAUACAAUAAACUGGGCUUGUGGUUGUAAACA
rnacentral:lncRNA from 1 species